rnacentral:snRNA from 1 species
GAGCUCGCUUCGGCAGCACAUAUACUAAAAUUGGCACGAUACAGAGAAGAUUAACAUGGCCCCUGUGCAAAUUUAUGAAAUGUUCCAUAAAGAAAAAAAAGUUCAU